GUUGCAGUCCGUCAAUGGUGAUCGUUAAGCAACUUCAUUAGCUUAGGAGACGCUCAGCUCCCUAAACACCUCAGGCCAUUUUCGGAUCCUGGAUGGUCUUCCCGGGCAAUACUCCAAGUAUCUAGGCAGCUUUGUACGGGAGGGCCUCCUUUCUUCGAUCAACGAAGCAUUAUGUAGGUCAAAGGGGUAGCACAGAGGCUGCUACUUUGGCUAACCCCUAGGCAUCGCAGUUGCACUGAUGCCGGGAAUAGGACAGCUGUAGACCUUUACCCUGACCUCAACCUAAUGCUGGCAAGUCAUAAAUCAUUGAAGUCCGGCACUAUAUGGUAAGUCAUUCAUAUAAAUUGUUUGUGGUGUCUGGUUCAAGUAUUGGUUGGCAGUGACUUGUCAGUCAUCUUAUGUACAGCCGUAUCUCACCAGAGCUAAGGUUCCAGAUCCGCUCGCUAACACGGACUUGUGGAACCAUGCUGGUGCGAGGUGAUCAGUUUUCUUGUGAGUUUUCCUCAAUUUCCUGCUUCUACGUUGCCUCAUCUAAACGGGUGCUUCUAGCAUUCUCUAGUUUCACGUUGCCCUUAACUAACAUGAAGCAUGCUUGAGUACCUCUUGGUUCGGCCUAAGACUGGCUCCUCUGCUCCUCUCUUCCUUCCCCCGGGGAAGGUGGCCAUAUCUCAGACUUGGUUCCGGGGUCAUUGGAAGGUUAUCCUCCCAAAUAGCAACUUAGCCUAGCCAAACUACUCGGGGCAUUCUUUCCGGAUAGGGGCUGCUACUUCGGCGGCCGCCAAGGCAUCUCCGCCUCAACUCUCCAGAGAAUGGGGAGGUGGUCCUCCUCUGCCGUUGGCUCCGACAUCCGGCUGGACCGUGACACCAUAUGGUCAAAUCAAAGGUCCCUGAAACCUUAAAUUGGUCUCCGUUACCUGGCAAAGCGGAUUAUCUUCCAAUUUCCAGCAAAAAAAUCAGGCAAAAGAUGGUAUGGAAACCCGCUCUCGUUUACAGGUCCAGGGAGGGCCGUCACAAAGCUGACAUAAUAUUCCUGUUUCCGGGUAUUUCUUGUUUCUGGGUCUGCGACGAACCCGUCCAACGAGGACACAGUCUUUUUCCCGGACGUACUUCCCCGGAUGCGUGGGAACGCCAGAGUCCGACAGGGGUCUAACGAGAAGCGACCAACCGAUACAAAUCCGACUCGAACUGUCCUGCGGUCUUGAACGUGACCCCUACUAUCCUGUUCUGCGGUCUACACAGGACCCCAACCUGUCCUUGACUGCGGUCUACCCAUGACCCCAAUCUAUUCUUGUCUGCGGUCUAACUUGACCCAACCUAUCCGGUCCUUGGGAGCGACCAAGCACGUCGUGACCCCCCGCUAUCCAUUCGGGGAUCUUAAAAUCCCCUUCUCCUUUGAAGUGGUAGUUCCUAUCCACACUGUCCAGUUCUGCGGUCUACUCUCGACCCCUCCUGUCCUUGUCUGCGGUGCGUCUUCACCCCUAAUCUGCCUUUCUGCGUCAUUUCCGACCCCACUAUCAUUUUCGGGAUCCGGUCGGAUCCUGCUGUCUUAGUGCUGUAUAUCUAGAUCGGCACUAUUAGCUUCUGCGGUCGAUAGACCUCCGUAUCCUUGUCUGCAGUCCUUCGGGGCCUUCCACUCUUGCUUUUUAGCUAGACCUUCUUAACUCUGUGAUGUUUAUUAUUACGGCUAGCCUUAACCCCUUCGAACCAUAACUAGUGGUUUCAUGAAAUGGUUCUAGGGGUGCCUAGGAAACUUCUGCGGCUGUAGGUAAGGUUUAAUUUAUUUUAUACAUAUAAAAUAAUUCUCUUUGGGGGGAUUCUGCCUGCGCAGAUAUCAGCAGCUCUACCCCUGGUUUAUCCUACUUCAGGAUGGAGUCCAAUCGCCAAAAAAGACUUUGCACUAUUGCAAUAUUCUAUUGUAAUAAAUGAUUGUUCAACUCUAAAUA